UACGUAGGGUGCAAGCGUUGUCCGGAAUUAUUGGGCGUAAAGAGCUCGUAGGCGGUCUGUUGCGUCGGCCGUGAAAACCCGGGGCUCAACUCCGGGCCUGCAGCCGAUACGGGCAGACUAGAGUUCGGCAGGGGAGACUGGAAUUCCUGGUGUAGCGGUGAAAUGCGCAGAUAUCAGGAGGAACACCGGUGGCGAAGGCGGGUCUCUGGGCCCGAUACUGACGCUGAGGAGCGAAAGCGUGGGGAGCGAACAGG
rnacentral:rRNA from 1 species